UACGGGGGGAGCAAGCGUUGUUCGGAUUUACUGGGCGUAAAGGGUGCGUAGGCGGGUUGGUAAGUCAGUGGUGAAAUCCCCGAGCUUAACUUGGGAACUGCCAUUGAUACUAUUAAUCUUGAAUACGGUGGAGGUCGACGGAAUAUGUCAUGUAGCGGUGAAAUGCUUAGAUAUGACAUAGAACACCAAUUGCGAAGGCAGUUGACUACGCCAGUAUUGACGCUGAGGCACGAAAGCGUGGGGAUCAAACAGG
rnacentral:rRNA from 1 species